GACGAACGCUGGCGGCGUGCUUAACACAUGCAAGUCGAACGGAAAGGCCCUGCUUUUGUGGGGUGCUCGAGUGGCGAACGGGUGAGUAACACGUGAGUAACCUGCCCUUGACUUUGGGAUAACUUCAGGAAACUGGGGCUAAUACCGGAUAGGAGCUCCUGCUGCAUGGUGGGGGUUGGAAAGUUUCGGCGGUUGGGGAUGGACUCGCGGCUUAUCAGCUUGUUGGUGGGGUAGUGGCUUACCAAGGCUUUGACGGGUAGCCGGCCUGAGAGGGUGACCGGCCACAUUGGGACAGGGGUACGGCCCAGACGCAUACGGGAGGCAGGAGUGGGGAAUUGUGCAAAAGGGGCGGAAGCCUGAAGCAGCAACGCCGGGUGCGGGAAGACGGCCUUCGGGUUGGAAACCGCUUUCGCCUGUGACGAAGCGUGAGUGACGGUAAUGGGUAAAGAAGCACCGGCUAACUACGU
rnacentral:rRNA from 1 species